rnacentral:sRNA from 1 species
UCCGUCAACGGUAAAUCGACGUAGAACGGCUUUAAGGAGUUGAUGGACUCACUAGG